AGCGAACGCUGGCGGCAGGCCUAACACAUGCAAGUCGAACGAACCUUUCGGGGUUAGUGUCGGACGGGUGAGUAACACGUGGGAACGUGCCUUUAGGUUCGGAAUAACUCAGGGAAACUUGUGCUAAUACCGAAUGUGCCCUUCGGGGGAAAGAUUUAUCGCCUUUAGAGCGGCCCGCGUCUGAUUAGCUAGUUGGUUGAGGUAAUGGCUCACCAAGGCGACGAUCAGUAGCUGGUCUGAGAGGAUGAUCAGCCACAUUGGGACUGAGACACGGCCCAAACUCCUACGGGAGGCAGCAGUGGGGAAUCUUGCGCAAUGGGCGAAAGCCUGACGCAGCCAUGCCGCGUGAAUGAUGAAGGUCUUAGGAUUGUAAAAUUCUUUCACCGGGGACGAUAAUGACGGUACCCGGAGAAGAAGCCCCGGCUAACUUCGUG
rnacentral:rRNA from 1 species